rnacentral:tRNA from 1 species
CGACCCGUAGCUCAGCGGCGAGAGCGGCUCCCUUAUAAGGGGCGUGUCGGAGGUUCGAUUCCUCCCGGGUCGA